rnacentral:rRNA from 1 species
UCCGUAGGUGGCAAGCGUUGUCCGGAUUUACUGGGCGUAAAGAGCUCGUCGGCGGUCUGUCGCGUCGGUCGUGAAAACUUGGGGCUUAACCCUGAGCUUGCGGUCGAUACGGGCAUGACUGGAGUUCGGCAGGGGAGACUGGAAUUCCUGGUGUAGCGGUGAAAUGCGUAGAGAUCGGAAAGAACACCAACGGCGAAAGCACUCUGCUGGGCCGACACUGACACUGAGAGACGAAAGCUAGGGGAGCGAAUGGG